rnacentral:rRNA from 1 species
UGGGGAAUAUUGCACAAUGGGCGCAAGCCUGAUGCAGCCAUGCCGCGUGUGUGAAGAAGGCCUUCGGGUUGUAAAGCACUUUCAGCGGGGAGGAAGGCGUUAAGGUUAAUAACCUUGGCGAUUGACGUUACCCGCAGAAGAAGCACCGGCUAACUCCGUGCCAGCAGCCGCGGUAAUACGGAGGGUGCAAGCGUUAAUCGGAAUUACUGGGCGUAAAGCGCACGCAGGCGGUCUGUCAAGUCGGAUGUGAAAUCCCCGGGCUAAACCUGGGAACUGCAGUCGAAACGGGCAGGCUAGAGUCUGGUAGAGGGGGGUAGAAUUCCAGGUGUAGCGGUGAAAUGCGUAGAGAUCUGGAGGAAUACCGGUGGCGAAGGCGGCCCCCUGGACAAAGACUGACGCUCAGGUGCGAAAGCGGGGGGAGCAAACAGG